CCCACCAACGCCGGACAGCUGCUGCGGGUCACCGGGUCACCGCGUCCUUGCCGGCCCACAGCCCCUCCCAAACGCGGGACCUUUACGUCAGGCUCCGCCCUCCUCUCAGUGGAUGAAGCGGAACUGCGAGCGGGCUGCUGGGUGAGUCGGAGGUAGCCUCUGCCCCGUCAGUUGUCUCCGUUCAGGCCAGAUUCUCGCGCACCCUGAGAGCCAUGCUGAGGAGCUGCGCGGCGCGCUUGCACGCGCUCGGGGCCCUGCGCGGUCUGCGGGGUGGCGCGCGCCCGCCGGCGAGGAGCCCAGGACCCGCGCGGGUGAGUCGGAGGUCAUUGUUUCUUGAGGCAGACUUUCAUAAGGACUCUUCUCUCCCCAAACCCAGCUGGAGCAAGGACAUGAGACUCCUCUUUGACCAGUUCAUGAAGAAAUGUGAAGAUGGCUCCUGGACACGUUUGCCUUUCUAUAAUUAUAAAUCAAUUCAAAAUGUUCAUGACUCCAUAGUCUUUAUUCAUGGUCGUUUGCCUACAACUGCAAAACUUGUAGACAAAGAACAACUGUCACAGGCCCAGAUCUUCACCGAAACCUUUAAGGAUGGCCUGGGCUUUGAAUAUGUGAUGUUCUAUAAUGAUGUUGAGAAAAGGACAGUUUGCUUGUUUCAAGGAGGCCCUCACCUGCAAGGAAUGCCUGGAUUCCUUCAUGGAGGUGCUGUUGCAACCAUGAUUGAUGCUACUGUUGGUAUGUCUGCAAUGAAAGCUGAGGGACUUGUCAUGACUGCCAAUCUCAACAUCAAUUUUAAAAGACCUGUCCCCCUUUGUUCUGUUGUUGUGAUCAAUAGCCAACUUGAUAAAACUGAAGGAAGAAAACUGUUUAUUUCCUGUGAUGUUCGGAGUGUUGAUGAGACUACCCUGUACUCAGAGGCAACAAGUUUAUUUAUAAAACUGGAUCCUAAAAAAAACUCUUGAUGUGGAAAGAGCUUCUGAUAAGUUUCACCUGCAUAAGGCUCUCCUUCCUCCAGAAGAAAAUGUGGCCCCAGUCCUGCUCUACUCACCCGCUGCUGAGCACCCCCAUAGAGUGAAGCCAACUAAUACUGCCUUUCUGAACAGUCUUCUGAAUACAACUCCGGGAACUCUAUUGCUACCUUGUAAACUUUUUAACAUAAAAACACUUCCGCUUAAUUUACCAUCACCGGAAGGAGUCUGGAUUUGUUUCCUACAUGUCAUAGUCUAUUCAAGCUGCCAAAACAACAUACCACAGACUGAGUAAUUAAUAAACAACAGAAAUUUAUUGCUCAUGGUUCUGGAGGCUGGAAAGUCCAAGAUCAAAACCCCAAUAUGGUCAUCUUGGUGAAGACUUGCUUUCAGGUUCAUAGUGGAUGCCUUCUGACUGUGUCCUCAUAUGAGGAAAGGGGUUAGGGAUCUCUGUGGGUCCUCUUUUAUAAAGGCACUAAUCCCGUUCAUAAGGGCUCCAUCCUCAUUACUUAAGCAUCUCCCAAAGGCUCCACCUAUUAGUACCAUCACAUUAAACAUUAGAGUUUCAACAUAAGAAUUUGGGGAGGAGCCCUGGCUGGGUGGCUCAGUUGGUUGAAGCAAUCCCGUGUACCAAAAGGUUGCGGGUUCAGUUCCCAGUCAGGUCACAUACCUAUGUUUCAGGUUCAAUCCCUAGUUGGCUGCGUACCAGAGGCAACCAAUUGGUGUUUCCUUCUUCCUCUCUCUCUCUCUUCCCCCACCCCUGUCCCCAAUACACCCUAACCUCUCCUUUUUCUACUUGCAAGGUUCUUGUCUAUCUUUCUCCUAAGCUCCAAGGGCCCUUCUUUUGCCAUAACUUGUUUCCUGAACCCAUGUUUUCUAUGGCUCACUUCUACCUCUGCAACUUUCUAAAUCACCUUUCUUUUAUGAAAAAGAAGGAAAAGAAAAAGACCACAGCAGACAGGUCAGUACAGAGGUGAGUUUGGCAGUUUCCUUUUCCUGGAAAUCCUGAUAGAGCUUGGGGAAGUACCAGGGAGCUGCCUGCACUGACAGCUUUGCAGUUUACACAGCUAGCAACAGCCACCCUUUCUUCCCCAUCUUCCUUCUAUUUAAUCCUGAAAUUACAGAGAUAGUGGGCUCUUAUGAUGUCUCUAACAGCUUGCUUUUCAUGGUCACUAGGCAUGUUUAAAUAUGUAGAGCCUAAGCAGUGAGCCCAGCACUGCUGUCCAGUUUCACCUAACAAGUAGGAAUUUAGACAUUGAAGGUUCUUUAAUCAUUUAGUGAAUCUGAACAGGUUUGCAAAACUGCUAAAGCACACCAGACCUACAUUCAAGGCAAAAGAACCUAACUGAAAGAAUGCCAAAUAACCAGUUCAUUUUUCUUUCUAUUAAGUGUGCUCCCACCUCCCUUUGCUAUCCACUUGUGGUUUUAAUUCUCACACUGGUUUGAUCACGUCCAGGGUACAUUGCAGCAUAUGACUGAGACUGCACAACCCCAACUGAAAGAAAAGCAGGAGUUCCUGGUGAGGUCAAAAUGGUUUCUCUGCUUUGCAGCAGACUGUUCUCAAGCUUCAUCAAACCCUGGCAUUCUUGCCUUCAUCGGGUUGUAUUUUGAUAAAGUAUGUUUGGCUAAAGAGUCAGAAAGGAGGGAGAUGCAAUCAGAAUUGUUGCCAGCUCCACUCUAUCACAAGCUUCCUCCAUAAACCAUGGAGCUAUUCCUCAUUGCCCAUUAUCUCCUCUCUAACAGAGUGGUAAGUAACAUUUUGAAUGAAGGUUAGGAAUCGCCCUGACCGGUGCACCUCAGUUAGUUGGGCCUUGUCCCACAAAGCAAAAAGGUCACCGGUUCCUUUGCCAGUCAGGGUGCAUGGAUUGUGGGUUCAGUCCCCAGACAGGGUAUGUACAAGAGGCAACGGAUUUCUCCUUCUCUUUCUCACUCCAUUCCCCUCUAAAAAAUAAAAUCUUUUUUUAAGAAAAGAUUGGAAACUGAUGUUGUCCUGUGUUCAAAUAUCUUUGAACUAUCAGUACAAGCUAGGUAGUGAGUUUUUGUCUUAACCACAGGUUUCUAAAUUUCUAAGAAACAUAAUAGAAAGAUAGUCAUGUGCAGAAAUACAUUGUUGGAGGAAUAAAAAAAUGAAAAAUACUAUCUUUUUUCUCUACUGGGAAAGCAAGAAUGAAACAAAAGGAAGUCGAGAAAACCUUUUCGUUCUGUGUUAAGGAAGCUUGUGUCCUUCAUGUUCCUGUGUUUCCCACCCCAUCACCCUCUUGGGACCCUAGCCUUUUCUCUUUGCCAGCAGCCAAAUUCCUGUUCUGUCUAAUAAACAGCCAUGGUAGAACUCUAGCCAAAUAUAUAUUUUUCAGUACCAAGUAUACAACAUUCUCUAUGAUAGAGAUAAUAAGGCAGAUUCUUUCUAAUUUAAAUCACCAAAAGUAAUGUUACAGGGUGCAGCCAAGAGGGGGGACCCCAAAUGGGCAUUUGAAAUGGGGUCCAGAACUUAAGGUGUACAGGAGAUUUUAAGAUGUCUCCAUCCCCCAACCCAGGGUGU